AACGAACGCUGGCGGCAUGCCUAAUACAUGCAAGUCGAACGAUCACUUCGGUGGUAGUGGCGCACGGGUGCGUAACGCGUGGGAAUCUGCCCUUGGGUUCGGAAUAACAUCUGGAAACGGAUGCUAAUACCGGAUGAUGACGUAAGUCCAAAGAUUUAUCGCACAGGGCUGAGCCCGCGUAGGAUUAGCUAGGUGGUGGGGUAAAGGCCUACCAAGGCGACGAUCCUUAGCUGGUCUGAGAGGAUGAUCAGCCACACUGGGACUGAGACACGGCCCAGACUCCUACGGGAGGCAGCAGUAGGGAAUAUUGGACAAUGGGGGCAACCCUGAUCCAGCAAUGCCGCGUGAGGGAUGAAGGCCCUAGGGUUGUAAAGCUCUUUUACCCGGGAUGAUAAUGACAGUACCGGGAGAAUAAGCCCCGGCUAACUCCGUGCCAGCCGCCGCCGUAA
rnacentral:rRNA from 1 species